rnacentral:rRNA from 1 species
UACGAAGGGGGCUAGCGUUGCUCGGAAUUACUGGGCGUAAAGGGAGCGUAGGCGGAUAGUUUAGUCAGAGGUGAAAGCCCAGGGCUCAACCCUGGAAUUGCCUUUGAUACUGGCUAUCUUGAGUAUGGGAGAGGUUAGCGGAACUCCGAGUGUAGAGGUGAAAUUCGUAGAUAUUCGGAAGAACACCAGUGGCGAAGGCGACUCACUGGCCCGUUACUGACGCUGAGGCGCGAAAGCGUGGGGAGCAAACAGG